UUUUGGACAAUGGGCGCAAGCCUGAUCCAGCCAUGCCGCGUGAGUGAAGAAGGCCUUCGGGUUGUAAAGCUCUUUCGGUGAAGACGAAACGGUUAGUGCUAAUAACACUGACUAAUGACGGUACUCACAGAAGAAGCACCGGCUAACUACGUGCCAGCAGCCGCGGUAAUACGUAGGGUGCAGGCGUUAAUCGGAAUUACUGGGCGUAAAGCGUGCGCAGGCGGUUUGCUAGGACAGGUGUGAAAUCCCCGGGCUUAACCUGGGAAUUGCGCUUGUAACUGGCAAGCUAGAGUGUGGCAGAGGGGGGUGGAAUUCCACGUGUAGCAGUGAAAUGCGUAGAUAUGUGGAGGAACACCGAUGGCGAAGGCAGCCCCCUGGGUUAACACUGACGCUCAUGCACGAAA
rnacentral:rRNA from 1 species